rnacentral:misc_RNA from 1 species
GAUGAAGAACGCAGCGAAAUGCGAUAAGUAAUGUGAAUUGCAGAAUUCCGUGAAUCAUCGAAUCUUUGAACGCACAUUGCGCCCCCUGGCAUUCCGGGGGGCAUGCCUGUCCGAGCGUCAUUUCUGCCCUCCAGCCCGGCUGGGUGUUGGGCGCUGUCCCCCCGGGGACACGCCCCAAAGGCAGUGGCGGCGCCGCGUCGGGUCCUCGAGCGUAUGGGGCUUUGUCACCCGCUCGGGACGGACUCGUCGGCGCUGGUCUUCCUCCAGGCGACCCUUCGGGGCUCGUCUUCCUUCGGUUGACCUCGGAUCAGGUAGGGUUACCCGCUGAACUUAAGCAUAUCAAUAAGCGGAAGGA